ensembl:lncRNA
CAGUGUAUGUUGCAUUGGUUCACAGCAGUUUGCAGCUUGCAGGUAGUAACGUAGACCACAUCAUUCCCAAUUCCAAAAAGACUUGCAGCCCUGCAGGCUGGGAGGCUCUGGAACAGGGAAAAGGUGAUUCCUGUUCUCAUUAAUCUGACUUAGGAAACAAGUCUUCGUAUGUAUGUAAAUAUGAUCUAAUCUUAAAUGAGACGUUCAUGUGGAAUGUUUGAAGACUGGUAGUGGAAUGUUGACAACAUUCUAAAAACGAAGGGUUUUUCUUGAGGCUUUUACUUCUGGUUUUCAAAAUAACAUGUAGCUUUAUUACCUGUUAUUUAACACGUACACUUAGUUACAUGUAAGUCUUGCAUAGGUAAUUGGAGGACAGCGACAUGCAACUGAAAGCGUUAAACCAGAUUAUUGAAACCAGUGCAGCUGAAGGUGAUACGCUUUCAAGAUGGGAGUGAUUGUCAUGCCCGCUGUUCUGUUUAACCACAAACCCACUGUUACGAUUUGGGGCUGAAUCUGAAUUGUGGGAGAUAAACACUGAUAGUGAAAUGAAGUGUUUCACUGGCCUUCCAAGUUUUUCCAUUAACCUGGCAAAAUGCAAGGCUCACCACUGGAGGGCAAUGUAAGUACAUCACUGCCAUAAGGGGACUGCAGCUGGACUGAAUAGUAAGCUGAAGCCACGCGGCUUUCUCCCAGCAUCACCAGCAUGGCACACGUUUGUCACCAUGAACUGGUUUCAUAACUAUUCUCUCUUAAAUCCAGUGUUUUAUGUCAUCCUAGGAACCUCCCUGACCAUUCACUGUGCAGCUAAACUCAUGGAAAAGCCAUUUGGCAUCAGAACCCAGACCCAUUUCUAAGCCUUUCCUGCUGUUGUUCUUGGGCCUAGUUCCUUUCCUUCUUCCAUCUCCUGUCUCUGCACUGACACAACACUCAUCUUUGCAGAUGCUUGGAGGAGGUUCCUAGAGCACAGUGUGCAGAUUCCUCUCCAUCCCUUGGUCACACCCAGCUUGGGGCAGCCAGCAGCUGCUGGGUGCAGUUCAUCCAGGGCUGGGAUCCUGGCUUUGGGUGUACAGUGGUGACUCAGCUGUGUCGUGUCUGGGUGGGUUUUUCUAGGAACAAGAUCAUGCAGAGCUGUGAAACAUUUUUGUUUCUCUACAAACUGACCCUUUCUACUACAAAUGUGUUUAUCCUACACUUAGGAAAAAAACUGCUCUCUUUCAGACUGAUGUUUUCUGGCUCUGUCCUGCAUGGGGAAGAUGCAUCGUGGUAUGAGCAGUUCCAGCCUGAGCAAUCUAAUCUGACAAAAGUGCAACCACAAGCAGGGUCUCAAAUGGAGCUGAGCAGUCUUGGCAAUAUCCAGUCAUGCUAGUGUUCUCCGUAUUACCAAGGUGUGUGGCCUAUACAAGCUAAGCUGACUGGCUCCAGAGUCAGUCCAGGCAGUAUUUGGGCUAAAGUUGUACAGAAAAGAAGAGACUCUGGGAUCCGUUGUCUUCUGCUGUAUAAAGCACAUUUGCUCCCUUUUCAUAGAUGCCACAUUUCAUAGGCAGCAGCGAGUCCCUUAUACAGUUCAGAGGGACAGGGAACAAUCUACCUUGAGCCAUUUUACCGUAAAGAACAAGCUGGGAAAACUUCCCUCCUCCAUCACAACUAUGCCAAGCACCAUUACAAAUUGCUAUUCUACGGGCCGUGGCUGUUACAGCUUCCUGAACUUGUACCAUCAUCCCAGGAGGGAUGAUUCAGUUGGGAGGAACUAGCCCUGUUUGUCCUCUCUGCGAAGAAGUACCUCUCCAUUUCACAUCUUGGAGGGCUUCCCAGGAGCUCAGUGCCAGGGAACAUUUCUCACCAUGUUAAAGAUCUAAUUAAAUGGACUGACAGCGUUUGCUUUGUAAACAAGUCCUCUCUGUGAUACAACAGAGGCAGUUUGCUAAACUCACGUGAUGGGAGGGUAAUCCUUUAGCAUGUUCUCUGCAAGACAUUGAACCUGCUGUACAUGUGCUAGAAUCUGCAUCUUUAUGAUAUUUCUCCCUAGGCUAUUUAGGACCAGUCUCUGUGCUACAGUGAGGCUCCUGGUGUUCAGUACGGAACAGCAGCAGAACCAGGCACUGAAAGGAACGGGUCCCUGCCAGCCGCCUGGCGUCUGCCUGCUCCCUGAAUAUGAAUAUGGGACACUACUGCCAGGGCCCAGACAGCACUCUCCCUGCCUCCCCUCCCAGGGGCUUGGAUACUUGUGCUGGAGGCACAGCUGUGUCAUCUUCAAUUAGACUGCUAUCAAAAGCGUGGGGUGGGAGAUGCCUCUCCCUUUCCCUCAGGAGCUGCAUUUAAGUCCAGGCCCAGGCCCUUGCUGCUCACCUUAGCUACCUUUUAUCUGUCUGUGCCUUGACCCCAGUGCUGUUUUGUCUUAGUGACUCGCUCUUGCCUUGUGAUGGACUUGCCUGGUGAUCUGUGCUCUUGGCUGACCCUGGCCAUCAUCACUGGAUGCCCUGCUUUUCCUGCUUGUCCCCCUUGCCCAUGAGCUGUCCCUGCCUGCCCUGCUGUCACCCUCAGUCCUUGGCCCGCCUUUUCCUGUGGAGCAGCCUGCUCCUGCUGCUUCCUGACAGUGGCUCCAUGUCACAUCCACAGGCAGCACUUGCUCUGCCUGGUGUCUCUUGGGAGAGAAUGAAAUUUUAAUGCCAUACGCGAGGUUUGGAAUGACAGGUGUUGAAAGGGAACAAGGGCCUGCCUCGAAUGACUCGAGGAAAGACAGUGGGGCAGGCAGAAAUUUGUACACUCUUUUUCUGAGGUGGGCAGUUGAGAGGCCCGAGGAGGGAAACAGAGGAGACAAGAAAUAGCAAAAACAGGCUACUCAAGGGGGUGGUGGAGUCACCAUCCCUGGCGGUGCUCAGGAACAGUGUGGAUGUGGCACUGAGGGACAUGGUUAGUGGGCACGGUGGGGAUGGGCUGAUGGUUGGGCUGGUUGAUCUUAGAGGUCUUUUCCAACCUUGAUGAUUCCAUGAAAACUAAAGCAGAUGGAGGUGAAUGAGCAAAUAUAAUAAAAUUCAUUCAUGUGGUUUAAUAGUAUCGUCAACCAAAAAAUAAACGCACAUGAAAUAUUUAAAUGUUUGGUUGGAAUUUAGAUUUCACGACCUCUGAUCUGGCAUAGUGCCUUUUUGCACCAUGUGAGGAAAACUGUUGGUUUCUGUAAAAUUCAUACGUAACCAAUUUGGAUCCUCAAAAAACAACGUGUUCCUUCCUCCAGAGCAGGAGGGUGGUCUCCCUGCUGGCACAAACAGGGCCCAUGUACACAGGGACUAUCCAGUGUCACCUCAGCUGCUCCAGCCCGAGGGCAUCAGGGCCACAGAUUGUCUCAGUUUCAAGAAGCUGCCUUGAUUUAUGUGCCUUAUGUCACCUAGUUCUCAGUGUAUCGUAAAAAACCCAUCCAACAUGAAAAUCGCUGAGUUCCCACUCUCUAACUGGACUGUCUGGUGGUGAGCCUCUCUGCCAGCUGCUCCUAUUCAUCACUCACUGGCCAUUCCCGUCACCCAGGCCGCAGGUGCAAAGCCCUCUGCAAUCUCCUGACCUUUCUCCCACGCAUACAUCACCGCCUUCCCUGCUGCUCACUGCCAGGUCUGUCUCUCCAACUAGGGGCAGGAGCUGAUGGCCCUCACCCUCAGCCUUGUUUUCCAGUGAACCUAACCCUCCUCUAAGGACCCUUCAAGCAGCAGUCUAAGCUGACACUAGUUGGUUUCUUAUUUUUCACAUCCAGCUACUGUGCUGGCUGGCAUUUUCCUAGUGCCUUGACUAGGUGAUUAGAUACGAGGUCUUCUCAUUAACACAUCUCUAGUAAGUGGAAAAAGGCCAAAGGCCAGGAAAGAUCCUCUGCUGUGUAGAUUUGGCACAGGCUUGCACUGGAACACCAUCUUAAUGCUGGUUGUGCUGCCUUGCUUUUCAGCUAUGGUGACUCAGUCUCUAAGAAAAGCUACUGCUACAAAUCUCAUGGGAGCUCCAUUUCUGACUCCUCGGGAUCUCUGGCAGGAUCUUUCUCUUGUUCCCUUAAUUUUGUUACCAUGCAAGUGUAUGGGAGAGGGACAGAUCAGAGCUGCCUAGUCCCAUCUUCCUUGACAGUGGAAAGUUGCAGCAACUUUUCUGGUAUGGCAAAAAGCGUGUCACUGCCUAGCUCCUCGUUGCUUAGGAAGAGCAGAGGACCUAAACAGAGGCAUACAGUUCUCAAAACUGAGCACUGAGCAUUAUUGUUGAAUAGAAGUGCAGAAGCUAACAGGGCUAACACAGUUCAGUGGAUACUUAGCAGUGCUAGCUUGAUUUGAAGUGUUAGCUUCGAUUUCCAUCUGAAACUGAGCAUGGGAGGAGGUGGAACUCGGUUCUAGAGGGAGCAGCUCACAGCAGUGGAAAGCAGGUCAUAUUACUAAAUCCUGAGCCAAUCUGGAUUGCUGAGACAGGAGCUAGUGGGUAUGGGUGUCCAGGUCCUUGGCUCACUCCCACCACUGGAGGCUUAGCUGCUGAAACACAGCAGUGUGAGCAUCCAAGGGACUGAGAAGUGGUCCUGAGAAUUCCUGCAGUGAAACACCCCUUGGAGGUACCUGCAAAAAACAGGAUACCACUUAGAAGCUAAGUGGGGAGGAAGAAUUGCUCUGUUGAUGAGGCAGGAUGGGGACAGACCAGCUCCUGCAAGGUUUCAAGAUGGGCUAGCUCCUACACAGGUUUAAGUAGCGGCACUGAUGAGAUGAUAACAGAUGCUUUUUCAAGCCCACACAGAAAGAAAUUUAGCAGCUCUGGUGUCUCAGUUGCCCAGAUCGGAGCCCUGGUCCUGAUAGUUCAUGGUCUGUGUGUCGGAAUUUCCGUGGAAGGCAGAAAGUGAGUGACAGGCAGCAGUAUGCAUGUAGGUUGCACAUGUGAUACGUGUGAUUUGUCCAAAUCACAAAGACAAAUAAAGGCAGUGAAGCUAACUAAGGCUAAUGAGGGAGAUCUGCAAGGCAAUGGCUGUGUGAAUCAUCGUGAUCAUUUCUGCCAGCAUCCUGAGAGACCCUGGGAUAAAGGGAAGAGCUGGAAAAGGGAGCUGAACACUAUCCUUCCUAAAGUGAGCCGGCCUUGAAAAUGAUGUCUGCUUUUCUGCUUGGUAAGCAAAGGUCCCUGACCUCCAGUUCCCAUUACUCUUUCUUCUUUACUAUCUCUGAUUAUCUAUGUGAGAACAUCAAUUUCCCCAUACAAUUGUUCCCAGACCUUAAGAACAAGCAGAAAGUUUAGAGGCAUGGUUGUGAAUUCCAACCCAGUCCAUCCUGAGCAUUCAUACUGUCCCGCUGCCUUCCCUCACACAAUUCUAACCUGCAAAUGCUCCUGCAAAUGCACCUGCUACAGCCAUCCUCCAGGCAGCAAGCUGAAAAGAGUCCAAAGAGCCACUAAAGAGAAACAAAACCUGUAUCAGAGCUUAGCAUGAGUACUCAUGCCAAAUACUUGGAACACAGGAAACAGUACAUGAGGCUGUGCAGAAGUUAUUGCUCCUGCUUUCCUGAGCAUUAGGAAUUCACAGCCUAUAUGGUUUGUGGUGAGGCAUGUGCUUAACACAGCUGAUAUAAGCUCCAAACAGUGCGACUAUAGACAACUCUGUUUUAAACAAGGCAAAUUAAAUAAGUCAUUAAGUGACCUGGAAAGGAACUACCAGAGCUGGUCAGAGGAAAUUUGUUUCACUACGUAGAGAGGUACUGCUUUCAGAGCCUUUUGCCAUAACAUAACUCCAGCAAUAGAAGUGCUUCAAACGUUUUACUUCUGUAGGAAUUCUUUGUGGGAUUGUGUAGAUAGAUACACAUCUGUGCCAAUCAGCCCCUCGUUCUUCAGCUACAGCAAAAUGGUAUUGUUUCUGAAUGACACCACGUCAGACUUCCAUGUCAUUAUUUCUAGUUAUUUGGCGUGUGAUGAGAGCUGUGCAAUUUAAGUUACAAGUGUCAAACUCAAGUUCAUCCAAAGGUUAAAUCUACUAUGAAGCUGGGUGGCAGGUCUCUGCCUUUAUCCACAUUUAGCACACACAAGACAUUAAUUCCCUUGACGGACAAGGAACUCCUAGGCUGUUCUGCACAGAUGAGGCAAUGGACUGAAAUGAGACAGUGAGACAUGAUGUCAACUCGUGAGCUAUCAGUGUGCCCUUAUGGACAAGAAGGCCAGUGGUAUCCUGGGGUGCAUGAAAAGAGUGUGGCCAGCAGGUCAAGGGAGGUAAUCCACUCCCUCAACUGUGUCUUUCUGAGGCCACAUCUGGAGUACCAUGCCCAGUUCUGGGCUCCCCACUUCAAGGCAGGGAACUUCAAGACUGAGGCCAGCAGAGGGCCACAAGGACGAUGAGGGACCUGGAACUUCUUUAUGAGGAAAGGCAGAGAGAGGUGAGACUGUUCAGUGUGGAGAGGACUGAGAGGGGAUCUUACCAAUGCUUUUCAAAACCCUAAGAGAGGAUAUCAAGAGGAUGGGGCUACGAUCCUUUCAGUGGUGCCCUUUGAAGUCCUUGGAAGGACUCCAACCUCCACCCUGACAGCAAUCAACUGUCCUAUGCAAGCAAGUUCAGAUCCAUACUAUUAAAUAAAAUUUAUCCUCUUUUCUUGUUUCCUUCAGCAAAGCUUCAAGACCUUGAAUCAUUCUCACAGUUCUUUUCUAAAUAUAUUUCUACAUACUUCUGUGGGCACAUCUGGUGACCUCCCUUUUGGAAAACACAUUCCUGUCACUGAUCUGUUUAGCCCCAGUCCUAGGCAUUUGUACUUCCCUGGCUCAGCUCAAUCUUAUGCUGUUAAUGUGUCAAAAUCUCCCUUCAAAGAAUACAAUCCCAAGACAAAGUCCAGUGGGUGGGGGUUAACAGCAAUAGAAAGGAAGUGGUGGAAAGGAAAAUUGAGACUCAGGGUUAGGACUUCUGGUUCUUUGCCCAACUCUGGGAAUGUAGUCACAUAUCUGCCAGUUAAGGAGAUCUGAAGUCAGAAUUACUGAAUAUUGUUCCCUGGUCCCAUCUUCUGGGUGACCUAAUUUACAGUUCAGUGUCCAAACUUCUCAUCGGUGAGAUUUCACCCACUGAACCAAGCCAGUUUUGGUGGUGGGUGGCCAGUUAUGCAGAGGCUGUAGAAUGUGACAGUGACAUCCAUUUACCCUGCUGCAGCAACAAUACUUUCCCUUUUGAUGUCUCAACAUUUCUAUGACCACCUGGCAGCCCCCACAUACCACGUGCCAUAAACCCAGUGAUGGAAGGAAAGAAAAGGACAGGGGCAUCCUGUUACAGCCCAGUCUCUGCCAGCCCUAUCCAAUUCCUGACAUGCCGUUGUGCAGCCAAAGACUAGUGGGAGGACUGCAGGCUGCUCAGGGGCUGGUCCGAAUUGUUGCCUAUCACAGCUCGCCUUAAUCCCAGAUUUCCAUUAUGAAGCAGUCCAAAGGAUGCCAACCAGUUCAGCGGUUCCUGGAGGUAGCCAAGCAACAGUAAACUCAAACAGAGAUUGGCAAUGGCUACCUUCAAAGCCAUGCAGAAAGUUGCCAGGAGCCCCAGCAUCCCCUUGCCUUAAACUCUUCCAGCACUGGGAAUAGAAGGUGCCCAUCCUACCCAAACAGCAGCUGCUCCUCAGGCAAGUGUGCUCAUAUGUUUCCAGCUGAGUGAUGAGCAGUCCUAGUGGGAUAAAGGUGCUGCAGUCUUCUCUGAUGUGCUAUGAGCAGUGUGAGUACGAAGGAGGACAAGCCUGAGGACAUAAGUUUCCAAAGUCCAGAGACUGAGCAACAUGAGCAGAUGGUGAACUUCCAUGCCUUUGGACUAGUCAAUAUGGACUGAACACAGCAAUUUUGCACUGUACAGCUGAUUUAUGCAAUAGAUCCAACCGUAGGACAACACAAGACUGUCCUAGCCCAAGGCUCACAGUAGCACUGUAUUUCUGUGCAAUGAUCCACACGGAUCAUGGAGGCAUGAAAGCUGCCGCUGUGCUAUGCUCAAGGAACCAUCUGCGUGGUGAGAAUAGCUCCAUGCAUGUGGGGCCUGGAUGGCAUUGCAGUGCUCAUGCUGCUGUGGACUAACAUUCUUUACACUGAAGACACUUAUCAACGACUUCUUCUCUCCUUCAUGUCCUGAGGAGCUUUCAGAGAUCUUCCUUGUGCGCUGUUGUUUCUUGUCUUUCCCUUUCUUGGUCUCUGCUUCACCUGUCUGCCUCUUCAGUCCUGUCCCUGCAUCUCUUGUCCACAACCAUGAGCCUCGGAGCAUUGACCUGCAGCAGCACAUCAUAACGGUGCAGGCUGUUAAAUAUAUUCCUACCAAUAAGGCUGAGAAGCCAUGAAUUUUUCAGUAGAUUCUGAGAGGGGUGCAAGCAAAGAAGCUCUGCAGAAGAAAUUGCCAGGAUUUAAGCCUGCCCAGCAUGCUCCUGGGAAUGCUGGUUAUGUUAGCCCUGUGUUCAGCAAUCUCUUCAAAAUUCACUGCCCUUAAUAAGAUGAAACAGCUUCCCAAGAGAGUGUCAAUAGCAACAACUGUCAGCAGAAGGACAAGGGGAUGUGAAAGCUGUCACUGUUUCCUACUUGGCUUUGGAGAAAGCAGAUUCAGCAGAGCCAAGCAAUGUCAGCACAUGGCUGUCCUUGCUGUGCCUCCAUCUCCCACUCCAUCAGUGGAAGAGAAGACAAUCAGCUGAGGCAGGGAAAGAGCAUGGCUGGGAACAAGGAUAGGGGGCUGAGAGCUGCCAGUCCAAGGGACUAUUUGCAGCCAUAACCAGUGACCAGUAACCAGUAGCUGUACAUCAGGGUUAAACUGAAAAACAGACUGUAUUAAUCCCUUUCAGUAAAUUUUGUCAGGAAAACUCUAGCAAAGGUUGACCUUGGUCAGAGUUAACACCCAAAAGGUACUACCAGGGCCCCACGUGAGAACCGGAUUAUUGUGCUAUUCCAUCCUGGAGUACAGGGGUCAGCCAGAGACACAGCUCCUUGGUGGGGGGCAGCUUGUAAACAGCAAAGAGGGGUUAGAAGUGCAAUUACUCUGUGUGACAACUGUGACCACCUUCUGUCACCACCCUAGGCUCAGCCAAAUCCCCCUCCCUCCCUCUCUUGCACAAAGCUGAGCCAAGGGAUAGGGCUUACACACAUGACCGACUGCCUGUCAGCCCCAGGGAAAAACAGAAACACAGCCACAGCAACGGACAGGCCUGUAUAUGGGCAGGCCUGUAUAUGGGCAGGCCCAGACUAUUGGUUGGCAAAGCUUGGCUGGGCUGUGAGCAGGGAAAUCUAGGACUCUGAGAACGGUUAUGGGAUUUAGUAGUAGUCAGUUCUCAUCUUGUGGUCAACACUGACAAUGACAGCCCAUCAGAGCACAAGGAGACCUAAUGUUAUACUAUGGGCAGCAAGGUACAGUGCAACCCAAGGUAUGGGAUGAGGGAAAUAUGGAACCUGUUCCUUUGAUCUCUCUGCCUAUGCCAUUUUUCUCUUGUUCACACAUCUCUGCUCAAGGAUAUAAGAUUCAGUAAGAAAAAAAUUUAAUAAAAGAAUUAUGGCUGACACUCCAUGAGCCAUCUCAUAUUUUCCAGUCAGGGAACAGCUCUAGAAACUCUAGAAGAAAGCAACUGGGCUGCAGUUGUGGCCAGCCUGCCCCUGUGUCAGUAAGGAUGAAAGGUAACAAAUCCUCACCAUCUCUAUCCUCCAGUUAUUGUCUCUUUCCACUCCUGUGCUCAGAAGGACACUUGCUCAGAACAGAGUCUUAAUUUUUUCUGUUUGAUUGAUUGUGUUUAUCAAAGCUCUGGCCUGUUUUGCCUUUGAGGUGAAUGUCAAAAGUCAAGAAAAAGCAAUGAAGGAGGAGGCAGCAAUGGGCAAUAUGUAGUCUCGUAUUUGCCCUGUUAUAUUUCCUGGCUUGCUAUGCUUUCCUGCAAUAAUUUUUGGGCUCUGUUGCUUAUUUCUUUGACACUCUCAACACCUGUUAUCACAGGAGGGUCAGGUAGGAGCCUUGUUCAGAAGACAAUACUACAAGAGAAGUCUGAGGAAUACAGAGGAUUUGUCUUUCUCUAACUUUCCUGAGAAACUUAAGGCACAGUCUUCGCAAUGAUUCAAGUGGGAAGAGAUGGAACUAACAGAGUGUCAGACUUGACGUGGAAGAUGGUAGAAGGAAGAUUAUAUGCUGCAAGCUUCUAGGAAUGAGCACAGAAGCUUAAGUGGAGAGAUCCUGAAAGCUGGACCUGUGUUCUGCCUAUUGUCACGGGGUCAGUCAGCCUAAUAGCAUGACUUUCCUCAGUUUUCCUGUAGAAGGGAGAGAUGGCACUGACCACAACAUCCAACUGUACCGACCACAUGUUCUCUAGAGAGCCAUAGGAUGCAUGCACUAGGACAUCAGGGGCUGUGUUCACACCUCUUGUUCUGCAGUUGUUGCAUUCAGAAUUCACACAGUGCAGUGAGCUCUGUAACUGACCAAUUUACCUCUUCAUUCCAUCUCAGAGAGGAGUGAAGUACCACAUCUUUCCUUCCCCUUUGCAGUCACCUGAUGCCUCUUGGGGGACGACACCAGAUCUGCCCCAUACCUUGUGCCUACAUUAACUGAAGUCUUGCCCUUUUACU